rnacentral:rRNA from 1 species
UAACAAGGUUUCCGUAGGUGAACCUGCGGAAGGAUCAUUGAAUCUAUCAAUACCAACACCGUGAACCUCUAUUGUUCGGUCCGCUGGAUACGGGGAAACCUGUUCCAGUUGCUGUUCGUGUUGCUCUUAACGGGGCAGCACGAUCAGGGCCUGUAAUGGGUCGGCCACCCCAUACAAACACCAACACCAAACCAAAACUAUUCGACUGAAUACCUAUAUGCAUCUGGCCUGGCCAAUGCAUUCUAACUGAGACAACUCUCAACAACGGAUAUCUUGGCUCUCGCAACGAUGAAGAACGCAGCGAAAUGCGAUACGUAGUGUGAAUUGCAGAAUUCCGUGAAUCAUCGAAUCUUUGAACGCAUAUUGCGCUGGAGGCUUCGGCCGACAGCAUGUCUGCCUCAGCGUCGGGUUAAUAUCGCUUCCCAUAUCCCUGGUGGAUAAGGAUCAAGCGGAUCUGGCUGUUCCAGCUCUGCCUGCAGUCUCUGACUGCGCUUGCGCACCUGGAUCAGCUGAAGUGCAGAGGUUAGCCAAGGACCCGUUAAGGGCCGCAACUGGGUGGGCUGUAAAAGGCUAUAUUCUUAGUUGUUGGUCUGGGACUUUGAUUGCUCGACCCUCAAACAGGAAACCCUACACUUAUAUUCUCGACCUGAGCUCAGGCAAGAACACCCGCUGAACUUAAGCAUAUCAAU